rnacentral:rRNA from 1 species
AGGACGAACGCUGGCGGCGUGCUUAACACAUGCAAGUCGAGCGGAAAGGCCCUUCGGGGUACUCGAGCGGCGAACGGGUGAGUAACACGUGAGCAAUCUGCCCCUAGCUUCGGGAUAGCUCCGGGAAACCGGAAUUAAUACCGAAUACGACUACGGCCGACAUCGGCUGUGGUGGAAAGUUUUUCGGCUAGGGAUGAGCUCGCGGCCUAUCAGCUUGUUGGUGAGGUAACGGCUCACCAAGGCGACGACGGGUAGCCGGCCUGAGAGGGCGACCGGCCACACUGGGACUGAGACACGGCCCAGACUCCUACGGGAGGCAGCAGUGGGGAAUAUUGCGCAAUGGGCGAAAGCCUGACGCAGCGACGCCGCGUGCGGGAUGAAGGCCUUCGGGUUGUAAACCGCUUUCAGCAGGGACGAAGCGAAAGUGACGGUACCUGCAGAAGAAGCGCCGGCUAACUACGCGCCAGCGACGCCGC